rnacentral:pre_miRNA from 1 species
AGCGCGGUGCCGCGCUGCGUGUAUUUGACAAGCUGAGUCCGACACUCAGUGCGAGAGUGUCAGUUUGUCAAAUACCCCAAGCGAGGCACUGCUGA